rnacentral:misc_RNA from 1 species
UUUCCGUAGGUGAACCUGCGGAAGGAUCAUUGUCGAAACCUGCCUAGCAGAACGACCCGAGAACAUGUUUCAACUCUCGGGGGCAAGGGGUCUCACGGUUCCUUGCCCCUUAACCUAGGAGGCGGACGAUCGGUUGGCUUUGGCACUUCCGAUAUGCCGUCCUUCUGGGCGUAACCGAACACCGGCGUGAAUUGCGCCAAGGAACUUGAAUGAAAGAGCGUUCCCCCGCCGUCCCGGAGAGGUGACUGUGCGGGUGGUUUGUCAUCUUCAGUAUGUCUAAACGACUCUCGGCAACGGAUAUCUCGGCUCUC